rnacentral:rRNA from 1 species
GAUGAACGCUAGCGGCAGGCCUAACACAUGCAAGUCGAGGGGCAGCACAUAAAGUGGUUUACUACUUUUGGUGGCGACCGGCGGACGGGUGCGUAACGCGUAUGCAACCUGCCUCCAACAGGGGGAUAACGGAGAGAAAUUUCCACUAAUACCCCAUAAUAUCAGAAUCGGCAUCGGUUUUGGCUGAAAACUCCGGUGGUUGGAGAUGGGCAUGCGUUGUAUUAGAUAGUUGGUGAGGUAACGGCUCACCAAGUCAACGAUACAUAGGGGGACUGAGAGGUUAGCCCCCCACACUGGUACUGAGACACGGACCAGACUCCUACGGGAGGCAGCAGUGAGGAAUAUUGGUCAAUGGGGGCAACCCUGAACCAGCCAUGCCGCGUGCAGGAAGACGGCUCUAUGAGUUGUAAACUGCUUUUACAAGGGGAUAAAUCGGUGUACGUGUACACCGUUGAAGGUACCUUGGGAAUAAGGAUCGGCGAUCUCCGUGCCAGCCGCCGCCGUAA